GUGCUUGCUUCAGCAGCACAUGUACUAAAAUUGGAAUUAUACAGAGAAGAUUAGUAUGAUAACAGAGUAAGGAUGACAAAGAAAAUUGUGAAGAGUUCCAUAAUUAA